GGAGUACCCUUGUAGCUAAUCUCCAGAGGCUUCAUUGUUGAGGUGCCGAAAGUCCUGAACGAGAGGGAGCCAUUGUAGUGGAGUAAGAUGACCAGAUCUGUGACUUGGGGAAGAUCCCUUUGGCAGCUGUAUGGAGGAUGGAUUGGAGUGGGGAGGCCGUAACUUACAUUCCUAAUGAACUGUCUUCAUAAUAACCCUAUGAAAUAGCACAUCCGAAAACUGAGACCAACUCAGUCUUUCAAACUUCUGUAUUCUGGCAACAUAUCCUAGAAGAAAGAACGCUAAGAGAA